rnacentral:rRNA from 1 species
GACGAACGCUGGCGGCGUGCUUAACACAUGAAAGUCGAACGGAAAGGCCCUGCUUUUGUGGGGUGCUCGAGUGGCGAACGGGUGAGUAACACGUGAGUAACCUGCCCUUGCCUUUGGGAUAACUUCAGGAAACUGGGGCUAAUACCGGAUAGGAGCCCCUGCUGCAUGGUGGGGGUUGGAAAGUUUCGGCGGUUGGGGAUGGACUCGCGGCUUAUCCGCUUGUUGGUGGGGUAGUGGCUUACCAAGGCUUUGACGGGUAGCUGGCCUGAGAGGGUGACCGGCCACAUUGGGACUGAGAUACGGCCCAGACUCCUACGGGAGGCAGCAGUGGGGAAUAUUGCACAAUGGGCGGAAGCCUGAUGCAGCAACGCCGCGUGCGGGAUGACGGCCUUCGGGUUGUAAACCGCUUUCGCCUGUGACGAAGCGUGAGUGACGGUAAUGGGUAAAGAAGCACCGGCUAACUACGUG